CGCCUACUCAGAUCUGGCCACCACUGGAACGGUGGCUAAUACCGGAUGUGCCGGAAGGUGAAAGGCUUGCUGCCUGAAGAUGAGCUCGCGUCCGAUUAGCUAGUAGGUGGGGUAAGAGCCUACCUAGGCGACGAUCGGUAGCUGGUCUGAGAGGAUGACCAGCCACACUGGGACUGAGACACGGCCCAGACUCCUACGGGAGGCAGCAGUGGGGAAUUUUCCGCAAUGGGCGAAAGCCUGACGGAGCAAUACCGCGUGAGGGAGGAAGGCUCUUGGGUUGUAAACCUCUUUUCUCAGGGAAGAACACAAUGACGGUACCUGAGGAAUCAGCAUCGGCUAACUCCGUGCCAGCAGCCGCGGUAAUACGGAGGAUGCAAGCGUUAUCCGGAAUGAUUGGGCGUAAAGCGUCCGCAGGUGGCUGUGUAAGUCUGCUGUCAAAGAGCAAAGCUCAACUUUGUAAAGGCAGUGGAAACUACACGGCUAGAGUGCGUUCGGGGCAGAGGGAAUUCCUGGUGUAGCGGUGAAAUGCGUAGAGAUCAGGAAGAACACCGGUGGCGAAGGCGCUCUGCUAGGCCGCAACUGACACUGAGGGACGAAAGCUAGGGGAGCGAAUGGGAUUAGAUAUCCC
rnacentral:rRNA from 1 species